rnacentral:rRNA from 1 species
GACGAACGCUGGCGGCGUGCUUAACACAUGCAAGUCGAACGGAAAGGCCCUGCUUGCAGGGUGCUCGAGUGGCGAACGGGUGAGUAACACGUGGGUGAUCUGCCCCUUACUUUGGGAUAAGCCUGGGAAACUGGGUCUAAUACUGGAUAGGACCAUGCUGUAGGUGGUGUGGUGGAAAGAUUUUUUCGGUAAGGGAUGAGCUCGCGGCCUAUCAGCUUGUUGGUGGGGUAAUGGCCUACCAAGGCGUCGACGGGUAGCCGGCCUGAGAGGGUGGACGGCCACAUUGGGACUGAGAUACGGCCCAGACUCCUACGGGAGGCAGCAGUGGUGAAGAUAGCACAAUGGGCGCAAGCCUGAUGCAGCGACGCCGCGUGGGGGAUGACGGCCUUCGGGUUGUAAACUCCUUGCAGCCAUGACGAAGCCGCUGUUGGGGUGACGGUAGUGGUAGAAGAAGCACCGGCUAACUACGUG